rnacentral:rRNA from 1 species
UUGAAAGGGAAACGAUUGAAGUCAGUCGUACCGACGAGAAAUCAGCUUUUCGAAUGUGCAUUGGUGGGCGUAUGAGAUCUACAUUGUUUGCAAUAUGCGUAUUUUUUUGGUGUACUUUUUCGUAUGGUAGGUCAACGUCGGUUUUGGUCGCCAUAAAAUGAUCGGAGGAAUGUAGCUUCGGCUUCGGUUGAAGUGUUAUAGCCUUUGGUAAAUGUGGUGAUUAAGACCGAGGAUUGCAACGAAUACCUUUUAGGCUAUCCGUCUGACCUCUGAAAGUUACUUAGGUGCCGAAAGCUUGCUUACGGUCAUUUAAGUUGACGGUCAAUAGGUUAGAACGUGAUUACAUUCGUUAAGGAUGUUGACGUA